GGGUAACCUGCCUCAUACAGGGGGAUAGCAGCUGGAAACGGCUGAUAAAACCGCAUAAGCGCACAGCAUCGCAUGAUGCAGUGUGAAAAACUCCGGUGGUAUGAGAUGGACCCGCGUCUGAUUAGCUGGUUGGUGAGGUAACGGCCCACCAAGGCGACGAUCAGUAGCCGGCCUGAGAGGGUGACCGGCCACAUUGGGACUGAGACACGGCCCAA
rnacentral:rRNA from 1 species